GAUGAAGAACGUAGCGAAAUGCGAUAAGUAAUGUGAAUUGCAGAAUUCAGUGAAUCAUCGAAUCUUUGAACGCACAUUGCGCCCAUUAGUAUUCUAGUGGGCAUGCCUGUUCGAGCGUCAUUAAGUCCACUUAAGCCUAGCUUAGUAUUGGGAGACUGCUCCAGUGGUGCUACCCUGUAGCUACCCUGCAGCUCCUUAAAGACAGCGGCGGAGUCGUGUUAUCCUCUGAGCUUAGUAAAUCAUUCUAGCUUUCGAGAGUAUCACUUCACCUGCCGUUAAACCACCUAAUUUUUAUGGUUGACCUCGGAUCAGGUAGGAAUACCCGCUGAACUUAAGCAUAUCAAUAAGCGGAGGA
rnacentral:misc_RNA from 1 species